AUUGAACGCUGGCGGCAGGCCUAACACAUGCAAGUCGAGCGGAGCGGCGGACGGGUGAGUAAUGCCUAGGAAUCUGCCUGGUAGUGGGGGAUAACGUCCGGAAAUGGGCGCUAAUACCGCAUACUAUCAGUUGAGCCUAGGUCGGCUUAGCUUUGUGGUGGGGUACCGGGUCACCAAGGCGACGAUCCCUAGCUGGUCUGAGAGGAUGACCAGCAACACUGGAACUGAGACACGUUCCAGACUCCUACGGGAGGCAGCAUUGGGGAAUAUUGCACAAUGGGCGCAAGCCUGAUGCAGCCAUGCCGCGUGUAUGAAGAAGGCCUUCGGGUUGUAAAGUACUUUCAUCGGGGAGGCGUUACCCGCAGAAGAAGCACCGGCUAACUCCGUGCCAGCAGCCGCGGUAAUAC
rnacentral:rRNA from 1 species